AGUGAACGCUGGCGGUAGGCCUAACACAUGCAAGUCGAACGGCAGCACAGUAAGAGCUUGCCCUUACGGGUGGCGAGUGGCGGACGGGUGAGGAAUACAUCGGAAUCUACUUUUUCGUGGGGGAUAACGGAGGGAAACUUAUGCUAAUACCGCAUACGACCUACGGGUGAAAGCAGGGGAUCUUCGGACCUUGCGCGUUUGAAUGAGCCGAUGUCGGAUUAGCUAGUUGGCGAGGUAAAGGCCCACCAAGGCAACGAUCCGUAGCUGGUCUGAGAGGAUGAUCGGCCACACUGGAACUGAGACACGGUCCAGACUCCUACGGGAGGCAGCAGUAGGGAAUAUUGGACAAUGGGCGCAAGCCUGAUCCAGCAAUGCCGCGUGAGUGAAGAAGGCCUUCGGGUUGUAAAACCCUUUUAUUGGGAAAGAAAAGCAGCGGGUUUAACCCCCGCUGUUCUGACGGUACCCAAAGAGUAAGCACCGGCUAACUUCGUG
rnacentral:rRNA from 1 species